rnacentral:rRNA from 1 species
UGAACGCUGGCGGCGUGCUUAACACAUGCAAGUCGAACGAAGCACUUUUUCUUGAUUCUUCGGAUGAAGGAGAUAGUGACUGAGUGGCGGACGGGUGAGUAACGCGUGAGCAAUCUGCCUUUCAGAGGGGGAUAACAUUCUGAAAAGAAUGCUAAUACCGCAUAACGUAUUGAGAUGGCAUCUUCUUAAUACCAAAGGAGCAAUCCGCUGAAAGAUGAGCUCGCGUCUGAUUAGAUAGUUGGUGGGGUAACGGCCUACCAAGUCGACGAUCAGUAGCUGUGCUGAGAGGCAGAACAGCCACAUUGGGACUGAGAUACGGCCCAGACUCCUACGGGAGGCAGCAGUCGGGAAUAUUGCACAAUGGAGGAAACUCUGAUGCAGUGACGCCGCGUAUAGGAAGAAGGUUUUCGGAUUGUAAACUAUUGUAGACAGGGAAGAAACAAGACAGUACCUGUAAAGUAAGCCCCGGCUAACUAUGUG